rnacentral:rRNA from 1 species
AUUGAACGCUGGCGGCAGGCCUAACACAUGCAAGUCGAGCGGAUGACGGGAGCUUGCUCCUGGAUUCAGCGGCGGACGGGUGAGUAAUGCCUAGGAAUCUGCCUGGUAGUGGGGGACAACGUUUCGAAAGGAACGCUAAUACCGCAUACGUCCUACGGGAGAAAGCAGGGGACCUUCGGGCCUUGCGCUAUCAGAUGAGCCUAGGUCGGAUUAGCUAGUUGGUGAGGUAAUGGCUCACCAAGGCGACGAUCCGUAACUGGUCUGAGAGGAUGAUCAGUCACACUGGAACUGAGACACGGUCCAGACUCCUACGGGAGGCAGCAGUGGGGAAUAUUGGACAAUGGGCGAAAGCCUGAUCCAGCCAUGCCGCGUGUGUGAAGAAGGUCUUCGGAUUGUAAAGCACUUUAAGUUGGGAGGAAGGGCAGUAAGCGAAUACCUUGCUGUUUUGACGUUACCGACAGAAUAAGCACCGGCUAACUACGUGCCAGCAGCCGCCGCCGUAA